CGGGUGAGUAACACGUGGAUAACCUACCUAUAAGACUGGGAUAACUUCGGGAAACCGGAGCUAAUACCGGAUAAUAUUUUGAACCGCAUGGUUCAAAAGUGAAAGACGGUCUUGCUGUCACUUAUAGAUGGAUCCGCGCUGCAUUAGCUAGUUGGUAAGGUAACGGCUUACCAAGGCAACAUGCAUAGCCGACCUGAGAGGGUGAUCGGCCACACUGGGACUGAGACACGGUCCAGACUCCUACGGGAGGCAGCAGCC
rnacentral:rRNA from 1 species